rnacentral:rRNA from 1 species
CAAUAGCGUAUAUUAAAGUUGUUGCAGUUAAAAAGCUCGUAGUUGAAUUUUUGCUUGCCGCCGAUGUCGGAACUUCCGUACGUUCGGCGGCGUGCAUCCUUGGGUGGAACCUGUGUGGCAUUAGGUUGUCGUGCAGGGGAUGCUCAUCGUUUACUGUGAAAAAGUUAGAGUGUUCAAAGCAGGCUUACGCCGUUGAAUAUAUUAGCAUGGAAUAAUAAGAUAGGACCUUGGUACUAUUUUGUUGGUUUGCGCACCGAGGUAAUGAUUAACAGGGACAGUUGGGGGUAUUCGUAUUCCAUUGUCAGAGGUGAAAUUCUUGGAUUUUUGGAAGACGAACUACUGCGAAAGCAUUUACCAAGGAUGUUUUCAUUAA